GACGAACGCUGGCGGCGUGCUUAACACAUGCAAGUCGAACGGAAAGGCCCUGCUUUUGUGGGGUGCUCGAGUGGCGAACGGGUGAGUAACACGUGAGUAACCUGCCCUUGACUUUGGGAUAACUUCAGGAAACUGGGGCUAAUACCGGAUAGGAGCUCCUGCUGCAUGGUGAGGGUUGGAAAGUUUCGGCGGUUGGGGAUGGACUCGCGGCUUAUCAGCUUGUUGGUGGGGUAGUUGCUUACCAAGGCUUUGACGGGUAGCCGGCCUGAGAGGGUGACCGGCCACAUUGGGACUGAGAUACGGCCCAGACUCCUACGGGAGGCAGCAGUGGGGAAUAUUGCACAAUGGGCGGAAGCCUGAUGCAGCAACGCCGCGUGCGGGAUGACGGCCUUCGGGUUGUAAACCGCUUUCGCCUGUGACGAAGCGUGAGUGACGGUAAUGGGUAAAGAAGCACCGGCUAACUACGUG
rnacentral:rRNA from 1 species